UCUGGAUAGUGAGUGUGUAAAUGAGCAGCAUUUCAGUUGCAGCUGACGUUGAGGUGGAGGUCACUGGUCAGGUCACGGUCAGAGGUUGAGGAGGUGGCUCCAGCUCCUCCAGCUCAAGCUCGAGCAGGGGCUGAAUCUAUGAAACGUU